rnacentral:rRNA from 1 species
UACGGGGGGGGCAAGCGUUGUUCGGAUUUACUGGGCGUAAAGGGCGCGUAGGCGGCCAGCACAAGUCAGUUGUGAAAUCUCCGGGCUUAACUCGGAAAGGUCAACUGAUACUGUGCGGCUAGAGUGCGGAAGGGGCAACUGGAAUUCUCGGUGUAGCGGUGAAAUGCGUAGAUAUCGAGAGGAACACCUGCGGCGAAGGCGGGUUGCUGGGCCGACACUGACGCUGAUGCGCGAAAGCCAGGGGAGCGAACGGG